CUUCUGGAGGCUCUCAGGGAGAAUCCAGUUCAUUGUCCUUUCCAGCAUCCAGAGCCUGCCCACAUUCCUUGGAUGGAAUCUUUCCAACACUCAGACCUCUGUUUCCAUCUUCACAUCUCCUUCUCUAAUUCUGAUUCUCUUGCCUUCCUCUUUCACUUAUAAGGAUCCUUGUGAUUACUUUGGGCCCCUAGAUAAGCCAGAAUAAGCUCGCCAUCUCAAGAUCCUUAACUUAACCACAUCUGCAAAGUCCCUUUUGCUAAGUAAGAAACCCAGUCUAAUCAUGAGAAAAACAGCAGCCAAAUCCCCGUUGACAGACAUCCUACAAAAUAUCUAAUAGAAGACUCUUGAAAACUACCAUGAUCAUCAAAAACAAGGAAAAUUUGAGAAACUCAGUCAAGAGGAGCUUAAGGAGACAUGACAACAAAACGUAUUAUGGUAGUCUGCAACAGAAAAAAAAAGACAGGUACAAAUUAAAGAAAUCUGAAUAAGGCAUUUGUCAAUUAGUAAGCAACACCCUGCAAGAAGUUAACAUGAAUAGAAAGCUGUGUGCAAAGCCCUAGGUAAGCACAGCUUGCAAGAGUCUCACGAUUCAAGGGAGAAUUAACCUUGGAGUACAUGGUCUGAAAGGCAUUAGGACUUCACGUACUAUGACUGAAGAAAAUGGAAGUAUGAGAGAAGGAAAAGAAAGGGAUGCCAGUCUAUCAAGAUGUGAGUUGUGUAAUUCAACGUGACUUUUUCCUGUAUCGUUAAGCUGUGGAGUUAAGUAUGGGGCAGCUAUCCCUGAAGCAAUUUACAUAAAAAUAACUGAUGCACAAGGAGCUGAAGAAGCAUGCAAUAAGUCACCACUUAUUACUCCAGCUUCACCUCAGUUAGAAUAUAUAUGUAUCAAGUACAUCGAAGGGAAAAAUAAGGAGUACAGAUUGAAAAUAUAUGGAAGUGGAGGCAUGAGAUGAUGCAAGCCUGAAACACUGAAAUGUUAUUGAGGAUGAACACAAUGGUAUACAUGUUAGGAAUAACAUAAACAUAAUCAAAAAGUAAGUAUGAAUGAAUGGUAUCCCAUAUUUUACAUAUUUUGCUACAUGAUAAAGGAGUUUUGAAAUAUCAAGAACCCUUUAUUUGUCAUAAUAGUUCAGUAGGACACUAGCCUGCUUAAGCAUCCAGCAUUCAUUCCUCCCUUGGGCAGGCUAUUAUGCACAUCUGGCCAUACUUCUCAAAGAGAGGUACGAACACAUCUGAACUCUAUGGCAUUGUGCCAGUGGCUAUACAUAGCCACGAUACAAAGUCAAGGUUCAUCUUCCAAAACAUCAAUUUUAUUUGAAGUUCAGGAAAGUUUUGAAAAUUCUUGAACUUCUUUCCUAAAGUUCCUGAAGUUUAGGAAAAAAAUAAAAACUAUUUAUAGAAAAAAAACACACGUUUAUUUGUCUGCGGUCACAGGUGUUGAACAGGUAGUCAGUAGACGUUACCAGAUAUAGACCACUAGGAGGCACAGUCUAAAUGGGUGCCCAAUUUUGUGAUUCAUAGAAAGAACAGGUUACUAAUCUGCAGCUGUAUAUGAGGCUAUUCCAACAAUUUUGAACCAUGUUGCAUAAAUAAUGAAGUGCCCAUCCCUGAGGGUCCUCUUGCAUGAUUGACCUGAUUUAUUACUUUUCAAUGAAGAGGCAGCAGACAUGAAAAAUACCUCGGGGACUCUCUUGCCAUCCAGUCUUUUCCGCUUCACCAAAACAAAUUCAAUCCUUGUUCUGGGACUUUUGGCUUUAAACUUGCUGCUUGUUCUCACUUUUCCUUCUGAAUUAAGGCUCCGCACAAUCUUCUCUGUAAACACUCUGCCUCUCCUUUUUGCUACAACACCACGGGAUUCAUCUGGUGAAAGUAUCUCCUGGAUGGACCAUGUUGCAACACCUCAAUUUGAAUACUACGCUCAGCUGGACCUGCUAACUGAAGGCAGAUGGCAAAAUGUUUCAUAUGCGAAUCCUUUAAUUUAUAUUUUAUUCAGGCUGCUUAUUGAAGUUAGUUAAAAUUUACUUUUGCAUUAUAAUAAAACUAUCUUAAAACAAUAACCAAUGUGUGGAAAGAAAAGUUACCUCUAUUUUUAAACAAUUUCUAAGAAAUAAAUGUGAUAUAAAG
rnacentral:lncRNA from 1 species